AUACGUAGGGGGCGAGCGUUGUCCGGAAUGACUGGGCGUAAAGGGUACGUAGGCGGCCAGGUAAGUCAGAUGUGAAAGGCAUAGGCUCAACCUGUGUAAGCAUUUGAAACUGUCUGGCUUGAGUUAAGGAGAGGAAAGUGGAAUUCCUGGUGUAGCGGUGAAAUGCGUAGAUAUCAGGAGGAAUACCAGUGGCGAAGGCGACUUUCUGGACUUAAACUGACGCUGAGGUACGAAAGCGUGGGGAGCAAACAGGAUUAGAUACCCUGGUAGUCCACGCCGUAAACGAUGAGUGCUAGGUGUCGGGGGUCGAACCUCGGUGCCGGAGCCAACGCAUUAAGCACUCCGCCUGGGGAGUACGUUCGCAAGAAUGAA
rnacentral:rRNA from 1 species